rnacentral:lncRNA from 1 species
GGCUGACCUCUGAGGAUCACCCCUAUCCUCAGCCUCUUUCAAACGAACACCAGCCGAGGAGAGAGGUCAGGAGAAGACCCAUGAUAUUUUCCUGGGGCCUAAGUGGUUAUUUGGGGUUUAUUGCCAAUCAACAAUAAGAAGAAAACCUUAAAUUUACAUAGGACUUUAAGGAUUACAAAGUGCUUGCCACAUGGCAACCCUAUGAGAUGGGGUCACCAGCCUUCCAAAGGGGUCUAUGACACCCACAAAAGGUAAGAAUGUCAUGUGCUCUCCAGUCUAAGUAACUGUGGGCUCCAGUGACAUAGGAAGGCUCCAUGUAGAAGCUAGACUGUGCAGGACAGGUAGAGGAGGAUACGUUGGCAUAAAGAAGAAGGAACUUAAUAUCUGCUGCCUUCCCCUCGAAAGAAAGGAAAGUCCUCUGCUAUUGAGGAAGAGACAAGAGGAAAGUCACUUAUUCAGGGUUGGGACAGCUCUACCAGGGACACAGAAGUUCUCCACAUCGUCAUGGAGUGUGAAGCUAAACAUUUUCAGUUCAACAAGACAAGUUUCCUCCUUUCCUCCACCCUUGAUGUUUGAUCAGUCCCAGAAAUGUGUUCUGAUGAUAUCUUUGCAGAGUCUGUGUCCUGGACUGUAUUCAGAGUAUGAGAAGUGCCCAUCAGCCAUCUUUCUGUGAGGAACAAAUGAUCUCACCACUGUGAGAAUACACUGUGGAAUAGAACACUGUGGAAUAGAGGGGAAAGAGAAGAGGAGUGAAGGCUACACUGAGAAGGGAUGAGAAAUGACGAGUAUAUCAAAGAGCAGCUUUUCUCUCAGAGGAAAGAAGGUUAUAGAAUGCCUGAUUCUGGCAGACAAAACUUUGCCAGCUGCUGCAUGAGAUGGAUUCAUUGGAUGCUUUGGAAAAUAAAUGAAUGAAUGAAACACA